UGCCAACCCCUGCGCUCAAGACCGCCAGUGCGCCUCUACGGUCCAGGGUUUCCCGCUAAACGCACUAGCAUUGAGGUGCGUGUCUCCAGGCUGGCACGUCCAGUACCAGCCCCACGCAUCAGGAGUCUAGUGCGUCAGCCCAGCCUCGCCAGUCAACAGUCACCAGAGCUGCCCGCCAGUCAAGAGUCACCAGAGCUGCCCGCCAGUCGUAAGUCGCCAGAGCUGGCCGCCAGUCGUAAGUCGCCAGAGCUGCCCGCCAGUCGUAAGUUGCCAGAGCUGCCCGCCAGUCAGGAGUUGCCAGAGCUGCCCGCCAGUCGUAAAUCGCCAGAGCUGCUCGCCAGUCGUAAGUCGCCAGAGCUGCCCGCCAGUCAGGAGUCACCAGAGCUGCCCGCCAGUCAGGAGUCACCAGAGCCGCCCGCUAGUCAGGAGCCGCCAGAGCCGCCCGCUAGUCAGGAGCCGCCAGAGUGGCCCGUCUGCCCGGAGACGCCAGAGUGGCCCGACUGCCCGGAUCUGCCCGAGUGGCCCGACUGCCCGGAACUGCCAGAGUGGCCCGACUGCCCGGAACUGCCAGAGUGGCCCGACUGCCCGGAACUGCCAGAGUGGCCCGACUGCCCGGAACUGCCAGAGUGGCCCGACUGCCCGGAACUGCCAGAGUGGCCCGACUGCCUGGAACUGCCAGAGAGGCCCGACUGCCCGGUCCAGCCCGAGUGGCCCUCCUGCCCUCCGGCCCAGCCCGAGUGGCCCUCCUGUCCUCCGGCCCAGCCCGAGUGGCCCUCCUGUCCUCUGGCCCAGCCCGAGUGGCCCUCCUGUCCUCCGGCCCAGCCCGAGUGGCCCUCCUGUCCUCCGGCCCAGCCCGAGUGGCCCUCCUGUCCUCCUGCCCAGCCCGAGUGGCCCUCCUGCCCUCCGGUCCAGCCCGAGUGGCCCUCCUGCCCUCCGGCCCAGCCCGAGUGGCCCUCCUGCCCUCCGGCCCAGCCCGAGUGGCCCUCCUGCCCAGCCCGAGUGGCCCUCCUGUCCUCCGGCCCAGCCCGAGUGGCCCUCCUGUCCUCCGGCCCAGCCCGAGUGGCCCUCCUGUCCUCCGGCCCAGCCCGAGUGGUCCGUCUGCCAGGGUCAGCCCAAGUGGCCCGUCUGCCCGGCGCAGCUAGCAGCGCCACCGAAGUGGGUGACGCCGAAGGUGGAGCAAGGUCCACGUCCUGCACCUGA
rnacentral:lncRNA from 1 species